UGGGGAAUUUUGCACAAUGGGCGCAAGCCUGAUGCAGCGACGCCGCGUGAGGGAUGAAGGCCUUCGGGUUGUAAACCUUUUUCGCUCAUGGUCAAGCCGCAGCUUUGGGUUGUGGUGAGGGUAGUGGGUAAAGAAGCGCCGGCUAACUACGUGCCAGCAGCCGCGGUAAUACGUAGGGCGCGAGCGUUGUCCGGAAUUAUUGGGCGUAAAGGGCUUGUAGGCGGUUGGCCGCGUCUGCCGUGAAAUCCUCUGGCUUAACUGGGGGCGUGCGGUGGGUACGGGUUGACUUGAGUGCGGUAGGGGAGGCUGGAAUUCCUGGUGUAGCGGUGGAAUGCGCAGAUAACAGGAGGAACACCGGUGGCGAAGGCGGGUCUCUGGGCCGUUACUGACGCUGAGGAGCGAAAGCGUGGGGAGCGAACAGG
rnacentral:rRNA from 1 species